UACGAAGGGGGGCUAGCGUUGCUCGGAAUCACUGGGCGUAAAGCGCACGUAGGCGGAUCUUUAAGUCAGGGGUGAAAUCCCAAGGCUCAACCUUGGAACUGCCUUUGAUACUGGGGAUCUCGAGUCCGGAAGAGGUUGGUGGAACUCCGAGUGUAGAGGUGAAAUUCGUAGAUAUUCGGAAGAACACCAGUGGCGAAGGCGGCCAACUGGUCCGGCACUGACGCUGAGGUGGCGAAAGCGUGGGGAGCAAACAGG
rnacentral:rRNA from 1 species